rnacentral:rRNA from 1 species
CCCCUGACCGGUACAGAGAUGUACCUUCCCUUCGGGGGCAGGGGUGACAGGUGGUGCAUGGUUGUCGUCAGCUCGUGUCGUGAGAUGUUGGGUUAAGUCCCGCAACGAGCGCAACCCUUGUCCUUAGUUGCCAGCAUUUGGUUGGGCACUCUAGGGAGACUGCCGGUGACAAACCGGAGGAAGGUGGGGAUGACGUCAAAUCAUCAUGCCCCUUAUGAGUUGGGCUACACACGUGCUACAAUGGACGGUACAAAGGGCAGCGAAGCCGCGAGGUGGAGCCAAUCCCAGAAAGCCGUUCUCAGUUCGGAUUGCAGGCUGCAACUCGCCUGCAUGAAGUCGGAAUCGUUGG